CUCUGUUUGUUCUGGUAAAUAUCCAUCCAAAUCAUCACUAACGUAAGAAAUUCCAAAGGCUUGACAAAUGUUGGCAACAACAGCUUGUAGCAACGUCAGUAUGAAGACUAACUUUCUUUCGACCAAUUUCGUUAUCUGAAGCUACUUCCUCGUCCAUUUCAACGUUGGCAAUGAUACUGCGAGUAUGUAUAGUUGACGAAUUUAUACGAUCACAAACACGAUUGAAAAGUACACUUGAAUAGUUUGUUAUAUCUUAAAAGAAAAAUGAAAAAUAGAGGUGAUGUGAGUUGUUGAAAGACGAACAAUACAAUAGUAAUAGGACACUACGUGUUUAAGGAAAUGAAAACUCAAAGUUUCCACUUAACGUGGGUGUGGCUUUGUGAACGUCAUAUAUCAUAUCUUUGGUCACAAUAUUUUGAUCCAUAUUGCACGAUAUGCAAUCCUGAUUACAAAAAUAUAUGUCAACUGCAAAAAAAUUGGAAGAAAUUAAAGAUUUAGAAACCAGCAAUCAGCAAAGUUCAUGUAAUAUUUUAGAUUUUAAAAUUU